rnacentral:rRNA from 1 species
AUGGUUCUUAGAGAUUCAGAUGGGGUGGUCAUCUUUUCAGCUUAUCGUUACCUAUUUCACUGCAAUGAUGCCCUAGAAUCAGAAGUUAGUGUGGUGCCAGAAGGACUAUCAAUGAGUAUGCAACAGAUAGACAUUCCAAUUGUGAUUCAGUUUGACAGCUGGCGUGUCGUUGCGGCUUUAUCAAAUGAUUCGCUGGAUUGCUCUGCCUAUGGACAUCUUAUGUUAGAGAUCAAGAAACUUCUGGAGUUGCAUGGGUUUAUAUCACAGAAAAUCGAGGGUCAUCAAAAUAGAGUUGCUCAUAGUCUUGCUAAUAUUGGUCGUUCUGGUGAUAGCACCGCUUGUCAGUUGGCGCCGUGUGCCAGAGAGUAUAACUGA